rnacentral:rRNA from 1 species
AGAGUUUGAUCCUGGCUCAGAACGAACGCUGGCGGCAGGCUUAACACAUGCAAGUCGAGCGCCCAGCAAUGGGAGCGGCGGACGGGUGAGUAACACGUGGGAACAUGCCCUUCGGUACGGGACAACUCAGGGAAACUUGAGCUAAUACCGCAUACGCCCUAACGGGGAAAGAUUUAUCGCCGAAGGAUUGGCCCGCGUCUGAUUAGCUAGUUGGUGAGGUAACGGCUCACCAAGGCUUCGAUCAGUAGCUGGUUUGAGAGAGCGACCAGCCACACUGGGACUGAGACACGGCCCAGACUCCUACGGGAGGCAGCAGUGGGGAAUCUUGGACAAUGGGGGAAACCCUGAUCCAGCCAUGCCGCAUGAGUGAUGAAGGCCCUAGGGUUGUAAAACUCUUUCGGCGGGG